CACAAAGUGGGUAGAGGCUGAACCAUUAGCAACAAUUUCGGAGCCGAAGCUCAGAUCAUUCAUAUGGAAGUCUAUCAUAUGCAGGUUUGGAAUACCGAAAGUCCUCAUCACAGGUAACAGAAGGCAGUUCGACAAUCCACAGUUCAGGAGCUUCUGUGCCAACCAUGGGAUUGAUCAUCGCUUGACCUCGGUGUCACACCCACAAAGUAAUGGGCUUGCCGAAGUAAUUAAUUGGAUCAUAUUGCAGGACCUUCGAACAAGAAUAGGAUUGCCAAAGGUGACUGGCCUGAUGAGCUGCCUUCUAUACUAUGGGCAUAUAGAACUUCGCACAAGACAUCAAUGGGGGAGACACCCUUCAUGCUUGCCUUUGGACUUGAGGCUACCAUUCCAAUCGAGGUCAACCUUCCCACAAUAAGGAAGCUCGAGAUGAAUAAAGAGAGAAAAACUACUGAACAAAUUGACUUGCUUGAAGAAGUAAGAGAGAAAGCCUCACUUAGAGUUGCAAAUUAUCAGAACAAAACGGCGAGGCACUUCAACCACAAGGUCCAGAAAAGAAGGUCAAGAGCCGGC
rnacentral:lncRNA from 1 species